GUGAACGCUGGCGGUAGGCCUAACACAUGCAAGUCGAACGGCAGCACAGUAAGAGCUUGCUCUUACGGGUGGCGAGUGGCGGACGGGUGUGGAAUACAUCGGAAUCUACUUUUUCGUGGGGGAUAACGUAGGGAAACUUACGCUAAUACCGCAUACGACCUACGGGUGAAAGCAGGGGAUCUUCGGACCUUGCGCGAUUGAAUGAGCCGAUGUCGGAUUAGCUAGUUGGCGGGGUAAAGGCCCACCAAGGCGACGACACGUAGCUGGUCCGAGAGGAUGAACAGCCGCACGGGGACAAAGACACGACACAAACUCCGAGAGAAAGGAGCAGAGCGGAAUGUUGGAGAAUGGGCGCAAGCGGGAGCGAGCCAUGCAGCGGAAAAGACGAAGGCAUUCGGGUUAUAAACCGCUUUAGUACGAAAAGAAGAAGCGCGGGCGAAAGCCUGAGUAUCAUGAGGGGACCGGAAGAAUAAGCACCAGCUAAAUACGUG
rnacentral:rRNA from 1 species